AGCCCUCUGUAUCCGUACUGAGAUUUUGUCAGCGACCAACCCGUUGUGGCUGAUGGUACUUUGCAAAUAAGUGAAGCG
rnacentral:pre_miRNA from 1 species